AAAAAAAAAGAGGCAUAUAGCCUUCCCCAUCCCUCUCGCCGACGCACAGUCGCACCACCCGAUCCCCCUCCCUUUCUUCGUCCUCUCUCUCUCUCUCUCUCUCUCUCUCUCUCUCUCUCUCUCUCUCUCUCUCUCCGUCCCUUUCUCCCCCAUCCCAUCUUCUCGGGUUCUCUGAUCCCCCCCCUUUGCGAUCUACCUCUCCUUCGAGGCUUCUCGAGUCCAGGCCCUGCGAUGCCGAUCAGACCUAGCUCAUCGAUCGCUCUCUCCAAUUGGGCUCUGUGCUCCUCGAGGCUGCGAAUCGUUCUGCGAGAAAACCAGCCUCCAAGCACAACUCUCUCACCUGUACUCUCCCCCCAGACCUCCCUCCAAGCACAAUUUGUAUAUAUU
rnacentral:lncRNA from 1 species